rnacentral:rRNA from 1 species
UACGUAGGCAGCGAGCGUUGUUCGGAGUUACUGGGCGUAAAGGGUGCGUAGGCGGCGCGGUAAGUCGGGUGUGAAAUCUUGGAGCUUAACUCCGAAACUGCAUUCGAUACUGCCGUGCUUGAGGACUGGAGAGGAGACUGGAAUUUACGGUGUAGCGGUGAAAUGCGUAGAUAUCGUUUGGAACGCCAAUGGUGAAAACAGGUUGCUGGGGUUGUGCUGACGCUGAGACACGAAAGCCAGGGGAGCGAACGGG